UACGUAGGUGGCAAGCGUUGUUCGGAAUUAUUGGGCGUAAAGGGCGCGUAGGCGGUCUGUCACGUCGGCUGUGAAAUCCCGAGGCUCAACCUCGGGUCUGCAGUCGAUACGGGCAAACUAGAGUAUUGCAGGGGAGACUGGAAUUCCUGGUGUAGCGGUGAAAUGCGCAGAUAUCAGGAGGAACACCGGUGGCGAAGGCGGGUCUCUGGGCAAUAACUGACGCUGAGGAGCGAAAGCGUGGGGAGCGAACAGG
rnacentral:rRNA from 1 species